GGAUUAGAUACCCUGGUAGUCCACGCCGUAAACGAUGUCAACUAGCUGUCUGUGUUCUUGAAACGUGGGUAGCGUAGCUAACGCGCUAAGUUGACCGCCUGGGGAGUACGGCCGCAAGGUUAAAACUCAAAUGAAUUGACGGGGGCCCGCACAAGCGGUGGAGCAUGUGGUUUAAUUCGAUGCAACGCGAAGAACCUUACCAUCCCUUGACAUCCAGAGAAUUUUCUAGAGAUAGAUUGGUGCCUUCGGGAACUGUGAGACAGGUGCUGCAUGGCUGUCGUCAGCUCGUGCCG
rnacentral:rRNA from 1 species